GGAAUAUUGGGCAAUGGGCGCAAGCCUGACCCAGCAACGCCGCGUGAAGGAAGAAGGCUUUCGGGUUGUAAACUUCUUUUCUCAGGGACGAAGAAAGUGACAGUACCUCAGGAGGAAGCUCCGGCUAACUAUGUGCCAGCCGCCGCGGUAAUACAUAGGGAGCAAGCGUUAUCCGGAUUUAUUGGGUUUAAAGGGAGCGUAGGCGGGUUGUUAAGUCAGUUGUGAAAGUUUGCGGCUCAACCGUAAAAUUGCAGUUGAUACUGGCAUCCUUGAGUACAGUAGAGGUAGGCGGAAUUCGUGGUGUAGCGGUGAAAUGCUUAGAUAUCACGAAGAACUCCGAUUGCGAAGGCAGCCUGCUGGACUGUAACUGACGCUGAUGCUCGAAAGUGUGGGUAUCAAACAG
rnacentral:rRNA from 1 species